rnacentral:rRNA from 1 species
GCGGGAAGCGAGCCUCGAGAUGAGUCAUCCCUAGACCUUUAAGGUCUCUAAAGGGUUGUUGAAGACUACAACGUUGAUAGGUCGGGUGUGUAAGUGCUGUGAGGCAUUGAGCUAACCGAUACUAAUUGCCCGUGAGGCUUAACCAUACAACACCCAAGGGGUUU